rnacentral:ncRNA from 2 species
AUAUUCCUGAUACUUUCAGGUGCUUGCUAACAAGCUGAAAAGGGAACCCGGUGUAAAUCCGGGACGGGCCCGCCGCUGUAAUCGGGGACGAAUUCCACGGUAAAGCCACUGUUCUUUUUUGAAUGGGAAGGUGUGGAAGGAGAAAGAUCCGAGAGUCAGAAGACCUACCUGGAUUUCUGUUCGUGU